ensembl:misc_RNA Metazoa_SRP Metazoan signal recognition particle RNA
GCUGGGCGUGGUGGUGCAUGCCUGUAAUCCCAGCUACUCAGGAGGCUGAGGCAGGAGAAUCGCUUGAACCCAGGAGGCAGAGGUUGCAGUGAGCCAAGAUUGCACCACUGCACUCCAGCCUGGGCAACAGAGCGAGACUCUGUCUCAA